rnacentral:rRNA from 1 species
GAUGAACGCUGGCGGCGUGCCUAAUACAUGCAAGUCGAACGCACAGCGAAAGGUGCUUGCACCUUUCAAGUGAGUGGCGAACGGGUGAGUAACACGUGGAUAACCUACCUCAAGGUUGGGGAUAACAUUUGGAAACAGAUGCUAAUACCGAAUAAAACUUAGUAUCGCAUGAUACCAGGUUAAAAGGGCGCUACGGCGUCACCUAGAGAUGGAUCCGCGGUGCAUUAGUUAGUUGGUGGGUAAAGGCUUACCAAGACAAUGAUGCAUAGCCGAGUUGAGAGACUGAUCGGCCACAUUGGGACUGAGACACGGCCCAAACUCCUACGGGAGGCUGCAGUAGGGAAUCUUCCACAAUGGGCGAAAGCCUGAUGGAGCAACGCCGCGUGUGUGAUGAAGGCUUCGGGUCGUAAAGCACUGUUGUAUGGGAAGAACAGCUAGAGUAGGGAAUGACUUUAGUUGACGGUACCAUACCAGAAAGGGACGGCUAAAUAACGUGCC